GCUGGGGCAUCCCUCCUCCCUCUCCCCUGCCUGCCCCCAGCAGCUCUUGCGCCGAUUGGCUCCGGCGGCGCAAGAGGAGGCCUCGCGUUCGAAGAAAAAAGAUACCCGGACGUUCCGAUGGGAAGCGCGUUCGGAAAAAUGAUACACAACGUUCCAACGGGGAAGGGAAGCGUCCCGAUUGGUCCCGGAUGCCAUCAGGGCUGGCUGGGCUGACCAGCAGCUGCUGCCGAGUGAGGCCGCUGGGCUCCUUGCUUCUCGCCCAGCCUGGGGAACUUUAGGUAGCAAGCAGCAUUGAAUGGGCUGGGAGACAGCGGCGGAGGCACCCUUGGGUUUGCAGCGUGUGUGGAAGUUCUCGCCAUGAGCAAUCCCCAGGCAGCGGCAACUGCUGCUACUGCAGCACGAGCCCCCUCCUCUUUGCUGCUCCUGUUCCCACCCCCUGGCAUCUGAGGCGGAUCCCAGUGCAGACCCUGAGCCUCAUUAACUCCUCUGACCUGCUUAUUAUUUUUAAUUAAUUGAUUCCCCUCCCUCCCUCUAAGGUGCCUGGAAAUCUGUGACCAAUUGGGAGGAGAGGCGUGCUCGUCUGUGGAUAAAGUUUCGUUUUCUUUUCAAAUAGACUAAGAACAUAUACUUGUAUUUUUUUUAUUUGGUUGCACUCGUGGGAAUUCCUUCUUUAAGUUUUAUUUUUUUAAAGGGUUGUUGGAGGGGUGUGUGAGGAAACCAUGGGACUACCUGCUUUGGAAUUUAGUGACUGCUGCUUGGACAGCCCCCAGUUCCGAGAGAGGCUGAAAUCUCAUGAAGCUGAGCUGGACAAGACCAACAAAUUCAUCAAGGAGCUGAUCAAAGAUGGGAAGUCGCUCAUUGCAGCACUCAAGAAUCUGUCUUCAGCAAAGCGGAAGUUUGCAGAUUCCCUAAAUGAGUUUAAAUUCCGAUGUAUAGGAGAUGCAGAAACGGAUGAUGAAAUAUGCAUAGCAAAAUCCCUGCAAGAAUUUGCCACCGUUCUCCGGAAUCUCGAAGAUGAGCGAAUGCGCAUGAUUGAGAAUGCUGGUGAGGUCCUGAUCACUCCACUGGAGAAAUUCCGCAAGGAGCAAAUUGGUGCUGCUAAGGAUGCCAAGAAGAAGUACGACAAGGAGACGGAGAAGUAUUGUGGUGUCUUGGAAAAGCACUUAAACUUGUCUUCUAAGAAGAAAGAAUCCCAACUUCAAGAGGCAGACAGCCAGGUGGACCUGGUUCGACAGCAUUUUUAUGAAGUCUCCCUUGAGUAUGUCUUCAAGGUGCAAGAAGUCCAGGAGAGGAAGAUGUUUGAAUUCGUGGAACCUCUGCUGGCAUUCCUGCAAGGGCUCUUCACAUUCUACCAUCAUGGCUAUGAACUCGCAAAGGACUUCAGCGACUUCAAGACAGAGCUGACAAUCAGCAUACAAAAUACAAGAAAUCGUUUUGAAGGGACCCGGUCGGAGGUUGAGUCCUUGAUGAGGAAGAUGAAGGAGAAUCCCGACGAGCACAAGAACAUCAGCCCUUUCACAAUGGAAGGCUAUCUCUAUGUCCAGGAGAAACGUCACUUUGGGACCUCCUGGGUGAAGCAUUACUGCACGUAUCAGAGGGAAUCGAAACGAAUCACUAUGGUACCGUUUGACCAGAAGUCUGGAGGAAAAGGGGGAGAAGAUGAAGCAGUCACACUCAAAUCCUGCAUACGCCGGAAAACUGACUCGAUAGAGAAGAGGUUUUGCUUCGAUGUGGAAGCAGUGGAUCGGCCUGGUGUGAUCACCAUGCAAGCACUUUCUGAAGAGGACCGAAAGCUUUGGAUGGAGGCUAUGGAUGGCCGGGAACCGGUCUACAACUUGAACAAAGACAAUCAAAGUGAAGGCACUGCUCAGUUGGAUAAUAUUGGAUUCAGCAUUAUCAGGAAAUGCAUACAUGCUGUCGAAACAAGAGGGAUCAAUGAGCAAGGGCUCUACCGAAUUGUUGGAGUAAACUCCAGAGUUCAAAAGCUAUUGAGUAUCUUAAUGGAUCCCAAAACAGCUUCUGAAACAGAAACGGACAUCUGUGCUGAGUGGGAGAUAAAGACUAUCACCAGUGCACUGAAAACUUACUUGAGAAUGCUCCCUGGACCACUCAUGAUGUACCAGUUUCAAAGAAGCUUCAUCAAAGCAGCAAAGCUGGAGAAUCAGGAGUCCAGAAUCUCCGAGAUCCACAACCUUGUUCAUCGGCUCCCAGAAAAAAACAGACAGAUGCUCCAGAUGCUCACGAACCACUUGGCAAAUGUUGCUAAUAAUCACAAACAGAAUCUAAUGACUGUUGCUAAUCUGGGUGUGGUAUUUGGACCAACGCUGCUUCGACCUCAAGAAGAAACUGUUGCAGCGAUUAUGGACAUCAAGUUUCAGAAUAUUGUGGUUGAGAUUUUAAUAGAAAACCAUGAAAAGAUAUUUAACACUGUACCAGAGACACUACCACCAAACUCGCAGCUGCUGUUACUAUCUCGUAAGAAGAGUACUGAUUCCAAGCCUCCUUCCUGCAGCGAGAGACCAUUAACACUCUUCCACACAGCACAGGCCAAUGAAAACCAGGAGACAAGGAACAGUAUCAUCAACUCGAGCCUGGAAUCGGUCAUCUCUUCAAAUGUCAACAGCUUCCUCCACUCCAACAGCACUCUCCAACCCAACCUGAACUCGAGUGACCCUGACCUAGAAGUAAUUAAACCUCGUCGGCCAAACUCGCUCUCACCAUUCCGGAAAGCCAGAGCCUUGUAUGCUUGCAAAGCAGAACAUGACUCGGAGCUCUCCUUCACAGCAGGCAUCGUAUUUGAUAAUGUUCAUCCAUCUCAGGAGCCUGGCUGGUUGGAAGGAACCCUGAAUGGGAAGACAGGACUAAUCCCUGAAAACUACGUGGAGUUCCUAUAACUUUGGGCACAGAAGCAACACUGCUGAGCUUUACAUGGUAUCCAUGACAACUGCUGAUUAGAGUGUUGUAGAUCAUUUGCUCUUUGCCACCGUGAAAUGCAGGGUGAAGGACUUUCCGAUUCCUAUUGAAAUUAAUGUUUAUAUGAAUGAUAAUGUAUAUGUCUCCUUCGGUGAUCUAUUGUGGUGUGUGCAAAUAUACUGCAGAAGGGGCGGUCAGAGGCUCCGAGGAGGUCAUUCAACUCUUCCAACUUCUAGUAAAGGUGUGUGAUUCCUACAGCCACUGCUCCCACGUACUCAACUUUGUUCCUUUCGUUGAGCCAUUGUAUCAAUGAAAGGAGAAACGGCGAAGUGCAGGAGCUUAAAAAGGAAUGUUAAUACCCCUUUCAGGGCCCUAUUCUGCAAACCCUUGAUUUGAAUGAGUAGCCCCACUAACAUCAACCUAGACUUUAGUGGAACUGCUUAUCUGAGUACCAUUUUACACAAAUCCAGGGUACGUAGUUUGGACCUUAAGCCACCAUUUCACAUUGUAGGGAGGAGAUUACAUGGGAGCGAGGAGGCUGUUGCCAUUUCUUGCUCACAAAUUCUCCCCUCUUUGUUGAAUCAGCCAUAAUUGAUCUCUUAUUGGCUAACAGCAAAGCAGUGUCUCUCUCAUAUAGCUGUGAGAAGGGGAGAGGUUAAGGUACUGUUUACAUACAUCAAACCACUAACCAUUUCUGCAGCAGCAGUUUGCACAGCUCUGAGCCAUCCUUGACAGGAUUCAGUCCAGUCUCGACAAACGCAACACACCGAUUAUUCCCAUACCCUGGUGCUGGUGAUAGCCCUACUUACUUAGUAUUUUAUAUUUUUUAAAAUGCCAUUGUUUUCUGAUGGUGAAAGCAAAAACAAAAGAAGUUGAAUGAUCUCUGUGGGGUGAGUGCAGGAUCAGCUGUGAAUUUUCAGCGCUCUGAUGAGCAUCAGCACAAUGGAGGAGAGAAUAUUUUGGACCAAACCUUUCAUAACUUUUUUUUUUUAGAUUUAGAUUUAUGCUGGGUAAACGUCUGUGAUCUGUGCAGCCGGCAUUUCCUUCCUGGAAGGCAAGAUGCAGCUCAUGAUAAAUACCACUUGUUUUGUGUGACUUGCUGAUUCGUAUCAUCACUUACCAGUGCACAUUGUAGAGCGAGGAAUCCAUGCUUAUUGAAUGACCGGGCCACUCUUCCGUUAAUUUUGGUUAAAUUUGCCAUUCACUGCAGUUGCUUUUAUAGAUGGCGUCUUUGCUUGCAGCCUAGCAUAUAGUCUGGUGAUGCAAAGUCCGUGCAGUACUGAUUAUACAAAGUAAAUCUUCUGUAGCUAUAUAAGCAUUUAUUGUUCAUGUAGCCAAUUGAAAUUCUAAGGAAAACAAACAGUUAGUCCUUCCAAUGGUUUUUAUUUCACCCCUCCGCUCUUCCCUUAGAAAGUCUUGAAGCCUCCUCUCUUGAGUACCUGGUUUGGGAUAGAGUCACUCCAGUCUUGUAUUGUUCUCAAGAAAGUUUUUUUUGCAUAGUCCUUAGCACAGCUCAGAUUAUAUUAAAAAAAAAAAAGAAAAGUCAAACUUUCCUGAUAUUUUGUCAAGUGCUACAACAUUUUAUAAUAGAAAAUCAUGAGAAAAGCUGGCGUCUUGGCAGGCAGAAUUAUUUGUCUACCCAUCACGUUAUCACGCAGAGAUGGGGGAUUUAUUUUCUUUUUUAAUUAUUUUUUUUUAAGAACAUGAGUGCUUGAAUUGCUGUAUGUUUCACUUUUUAUUGUUGGAAAAAAUCAUAUGUAAAUAGGAUAAUUUGAAAUAUUAUGAGGGAAAGUUCUGUUUGAUAUUUGUAGCGGAGCUGUUAUGAGCUUCAUGUUCCAUGGAUAUUUGAAACCAAUUUACAGGGAAAAGCACACAAGCACACAACCUAACCUUUAAACAUGUUGACCUUUUCCUUCAUUUUGUCACCGACUCUGCCAGCCAGCUGGAUUGAGUUUUUGCUCACUUUUUAAUUUCAUUUACAUUAAUUAAACUUCCUAGACUUUGGUGUUGGAAGGAGACAAUCUAAUAUAUACUAUACAUAAAAGGUAGGCACGUAUGUGUGUGGGAGAGAGAGAUAAUGCGCACGCACACACACCUUUGUGGGUUUCAGAGUAGCAGCCGUGUUAGUCUGUAUCCAUAAAAAGAAAAGGAGUACUUGUGAUACCUUAGAGACUAACAAAUUUAUUAGAUCAUAAGCUUUCAUGAGCUACAGCUCACUUCAUCGGAUGCAUUCAGUGGAAAAUAUAGUGGGGAGAUUUUAUAUACACAGAGAACAUGAAACAAUGGGUGUUACCAUACCGACUGUAACAAGAGUGACCAGGAAAGGUGAGCUAUUACCAGCAGGAGAGCUGGGGGGGAGCGGGGGCGGAAGAACCGCAAAGUGGAACAAAACUAAGGGCUUUCUUUGCUUACAUCUAUAUGUGACAGAGAUGGGAGAAAGUAUAUCUUAGCUUCGUGGCAGUUUGCUUGCCUUUCCUUCAUCAAAAAAAUCAUUAAAAGGCUAGAAAUUGUUGAAGGAAGAUAAUGGAAUGUUAAGGAUGAAAAACAAGUGAUUGACAGGCCUGUACAGAGGAGGAAGGGACAGAUUUCCAGUAUAUCCAAAUUAAAAAAAAAAAAAAAAAGAAGCCAGGUGCAAGGGUUACUUAGCUAAAGCUCUCUCUUACUAUUCACUGAUUGACUUUUAGAAGCCGUUGAUACAAUUCUGGGUUACUUUAGUGUCAUACUUGUGAGCUACACAGUGUGACUGCUUGUGAAUAAAUUGAUAGAUAAGAUCAUACCCUCUUUGGACAGGACUGGUUAGAUUGUCAGGAAAAGUAACUGACUAUAACUAACCCCAUCCUAUAGUAUUUUCUGGUUUGAAAAGUAAUCAAAUUAAGAGGAUAAAUGGCCUGGGGGUGGGGAGGGGAUUCAUAAUGGGAUAGAGGAGAGUUUUUUUCACCAAUAUGUUGCUGAUUUAAAUCCAUCCUUGCAUGUUAGCAGCUAAAAAAAAUUACCAGCUGAUUUCUGUUUGGUAUCCUGUAUGAAAUUGUUUGGUUGGUCUUCAUCCAUAUCCCAGUGGACAGGUGUCUGUGUUGCAAUAUUCACCACUACGAUGCGUCCUCAUUGGCCUUUGUGUUGACAUCCACAAAUUAAAACCAAAGAUUUUGAAUGGGCAAGGGAGAGUGAACUAAUUGCUCAACUCAGAGGUGAAGGACACUCCCCACUGCAAGCAGGAUGGUAUAACGUACACUACUGUUAUCUAUGCUGAACCUGUUCUGUGGGUAGACAGAGUGUUUCAUCCUCCAUGACUGUCAGGCAUGUUUGUUCAAUUUUGUCCCCUCUACGCAGAUGAUGUCUGGGUUCUGUGGCCCCUCCCUCACCUGAAGAGAUGGGGCUUCUGCUUCUUUGGUCUCUGCCCAACAGCAUUAGCUAGGCUGGCAUAUUUCACCAACAUUAAAUUCAACUGAAAAAAUUUGAAAGCUUUAAAACACAAAAAGGAACCCAUUUGCUUCUCAAGACAACCUGUCUGAAAGUAAUUUGUUUCCAUGAUGAGUUACUUUAAAAAGUAAGCUGGUUCUGUGUGCGUAGCUCUUGUAAUCAGUUCUUUUUAAUGACCCUGCCCAGAAGCCUCAUUUAAGUGAAUGGGAGUCAUGCAGUUGGAACCUUUGGCAAUCAUUUUAAAAAAUAUACUCCUCCUUGCUCAAAUGGAUUCAACAGCUACCAAACAGACCCAUUGGCUUUUUACUGCUUGAUACGGGUAGUAUCAAAGUGAUCAUUGAUAUCUGUGCUAUUUAGAUGAAAUCUUCUUCACCCCCUACAGAAUGCCUAUAAUAUCAAUCAGGAUUGUCAUGUUAAUUUCAUAGGUGCAUUGCCUAUGUUGAUAUGUUUGCAGAGGUCCCAAUGGAAAGGAGAGGAAGCCUAACUUGUUGGCCUGAUAUGAUUGUUUGCGUGUAUCUGUGGUUUCCAUAUCAUGACCCCAGUCCUACAAUCAUAUCUGUCCCUGCAUCCAUCUGACGCCCCUUGGAAUCAGUGGGGCUCUGUACAGGUGAAGGGGUUUGCCCACACAGAACCAGUUCAAGAAUGAGGUUCAUAUCUGGAACCUUUUUUUGUUUUAGCUUUUAAAGGAAAACUGCACCGCAAUAUAAAGCAUAAUUUGUUAUACGUAACAUUUUCAAAACCAUUUAAGUGACGUAGUAGCCUAAGGCUAUUCUACGCUUGUGAGUUUUAGUGCAAAAAGUCAGGUUUUUGUGCAAAAACCACGCUAGUGUCUUCACUGGAAAUCCAGAUUUUGCGCUGAAACUGCUGAGUUUCAGCGCAAAAAUAAAACCACCCCAACGAGAGUCUUUUUGUGCUAAUGCUUUUGCGCUGAUGUGCCAGUGAAGACUCUCGAUUGCUUUUACCUGUCUAAUUGCCACAAUGUAGAGCGGGAACACACACACACACACACACACACACACACACACACGAUUUGCUUUGAGUCCCGGAGCAGUGCAUAGUGGGAUAGCUACCACAGUGCGCUUUUCUCAUCUGCAAUGCAAGUGCUGCAUAUAGAAACACGCUCUGACGCCUGUGGAAAACAAUGUGAACACAAACCGGCACUUUGCUUUUAGCGCUUUUCUAUCACUGACAAAACUGUCAGCGAAAAAACUCUGCAAGUGUAGACAUAGCCUCAGUUCUCUUUUUACUUGGGCACCUAGUGCCUUUCAGUGAGAAAGCCAGGUCCACACCAAAGUCUUUUCCCUGCAUAUUGAUGUCUGUUAGGGGUGUAAAUUUUGCAACAUAGCUAUGCCAGCAAACGCCUCAAUGCAGACGCAGUUAUACCAGUAUAAAAGUGCUUUUGCCGGUAUAGCUUAUUUCACUUGCAGGACUGGUAUAAGCUGUAUCAAUAAAAACACUGAUAUAAGCUGCAUGUGUACUAGGAGUGUUUCAUCUGUGUAGCUUUAUCUGCAAACCUCUUUAGUGUAGGCUACGCCUUAUUUUCAAAAGUAACUUGGGCACUUAGGAGCCCAAGUCCCAGGCUCCUAAUAAUGUUACCCUGUCCUUCAUUGCAAACAAAAGUACAUUGCUGAAGUUUUUACAAAAUGUCUUAAGGUUAAUUAAAGCAUCAAGUUGGAAGUUGCCUUUGUUAAAUUUAAAGGUUAAAAAAAUCAGAAUUUUUUUUUCUGAAAAUGUUGUGAAUUUCUCCCCCUUUUGGGGCAACUAUAAAGCUGGAUUGUUUUUGUCAAAUUUCAAAAUUUUAAAUUAAAAAAGGGGAGGGGGGAAUGAUAUUUAACCCGCACUACUAUGACAAAGACGUUAAAGCUGUUAUUCAAAAGAAUCAGAAAGCAGCGACUUUCAAAGUUGCUGCUAUAUGUAUUCUAUCCUUUAUUUAUUAAUUUUAAACUUGUGUUAGCAUUUUGGCAAAAAAUACAUAUUGCCAUAAUAUCUGUUGAAACAAAACAUCAGUAACAAGUGUUAGGGUGAAAUCUUGCCCCCUUUGAAGUCAGUUGCAGCCAGGAUUUCACCUUUAGCAUCUAAUAUAGCACAAAUAAAGUAUUUAAUAGAGUCCUGGGAAUGAAGACCUUCAAAUCACCUUGGUUUAAACUAAACAGGUAAGGCUAGAGGCCUGGUCUUUGGAUCUAUAAAAGUCAGUUGGUGUCUUUUCAUUGAUUUCAAUGGGCUUUGGAUCAGGCUGUAAGAGAGUUAAUCCCUAACUCCUGUAAGGCCCAGAUUCGGUAAGGCCUCAAGCUGUGUAAAGCUCAAUUAAAGUUAUUGGUCCUAUUUUUGGAGGAAGGCACUACUCAAUCUGAGUAAGGGUUUCAGAAUCUGUGCCUAAAUAUUUAGGUAUCAGAGAUUCCUAUUCAACUCUUUUUAGUCAGACAUAAUAUUCCCUCCUCAGUGGGAGCUUUGCCUGAGUUUUAAGGCCUAAAUAGCCUUGUAAGCCAUUAUAACUAAUCACAGCAGUUUUCCUUCACUAGCUUACUGUAGCUGAGCCAUUAAAGGGGGGAGGGAGAUAUCAAGAGAAACUAAAAUGCUCAGUAUAAAAAUGCCAUUUUGAAACACUUUAUUAAUAUUUAUUCCAACUAUUUACAAUAUACAGCUACAUUCUUUAAUACCUUAAGAAGAAUGCCCCAUAAUGUUGUAGUUAUCAGUGUUUAACAGAUCUUAUGCAAAGCUGUUUAAAAGCAUUUAAUGAGAUAUGGAGAGUGUUAAAAUCAAUGUGGGUGCAUGUUAAAUACAUGAAUGAAGAUUAUUUUCAAGCCUAUAGUAAGUGCUGUAUAAAGUAAUAAAUAUUAAUAAAGUCCUUAUAAAUGGCACCUUCAUGGAAAAUAUCCCAUAAAAAUUGCUGAUUUAAACAUCAGAUUCAGUUUUUUAGUAUUGUAGGAUGCAGUAAUUGUAAAACUGUAUGUUCUUGGGGUGUAACUUUUAUUUUAACCUUUACAACCUGGUACAGAAGUUCUGAAAGAUUCACUCAGUGUGUGGCUCUAGAGUAAUCCCCGUUAGCAAGCUCAUUAUGUUCCAUUCUUUGGUAGGUUUGGGUGACAAGCCAUGUAAAGUGGCAAUAUGAUUUUGAAUUAAAUAUCUGUUCUGCUUGGAGGCUGCUAAGCUCCUUUCAUGGGGAGAGGAUGGACUAGAAGCUUGCACUUGAAACAACCUUUUUCAUUUUUGCCAGAAAAGAAGCUAUUAUGUAAAAGAUGCUGUCUUUUCAAAGGUAGCCAGCUCUGUUGUGUGCUGCACAGUUACACUAAUCAGUACCCACCACGCUGUCACCUGUCACCACUCUGGGAUGGUCAGAUUUUAAAUUCAGAAGACAUUAGUGGUGACAGUCACAUCAGGGCGUGAACAUCUCUGUGUUAAGCUGACCACAAACAUUGCAGUUGUUGUGUGAUAGCCAAUCAUAUCAAACACGUACUCCAGUGUGCUUCUGCAGUGAUCCUUAAUUUACUGUUUUCUCAGCAUGCUCCCCACCCACACAAACCUAGUAGCAUAGGUAUGGUAAGAUUUCCUUUUCUACGAUCUUUUUUUGUCCUUUCUUUCUAGGUCACAGGUUGCCUGCAAGCCAAAACUGUCCCAUUGCGUUCUGCAGUGCAGCCGAUGGCAACCUCAUGUUUAAUAGGGAGAUUACAGGUGACAGCAUUCAAAGCUCUAUCUCAAGCCAAGAGCAGGCUUAAGUAGUAGCUACUGUACUUGUAUCAGACACAGUGCCUGCUUUACAGUCACUGUGUUAGAUUGUCACUUCUAAAAACCUUAGUUUUUAUGUGAUCAGGGUCGGUCCGGGCUUACGCUCUGGCAGUUUUCUUCCCAGAACUUCACCUCCCACACUAAAAGUCUUGUAGAAUUUAGUAAGGAUGAAACCAAAAGGGUUUCAUAGAAAUUACUUUUACAACCUAUACUGUUUAAUAGAGAACGAGAUCCCUUCAAUAGACUUCUGUUGGUCGGCUUAAAGGUUAUCAUUCUCCAUUAAUUCUCUAUUAAAAUCUAUAGGACUUUGCCACAAGGGAUCAAUUAAAAAUGAAGACUUUAUAAUUGUUUUACUCAAGCAAGAAGAAAAUGCUGAGAAAUAAAAAGAAUGACACAGAAGGUUAAAAGAAAUAAAAUGCAGCUAAUUGGAGUGUCUAAAGAAGUCCAGUUUACAUUUCCAAUACUUUAUUGUGCUCUAAGGUAUUACCGUACUUUACCAUCUAUCUACUAUCCUCUCUUCCCCAGCUCAUCCCUGUGUUGCAGCGAUUCAGCAACUCCACUCAAGCUUUGCCUCUUAUUAUAUUGUAGGACAGUGACUGAUUCUCUGUUCAUGUGAAGAUCUCUAGGAAAAGUUCCCAUUAGGAUACCAGUGCCAUACGGCAGCUGUUAAAAUUCCUUUGCUUGGAAAUCUGGAAACUGAUUGUGCUCCUCUUGCCAUGGGAAAAUGCAGAGGGUUUGUGAUGGAUGUCACUUGCUCCCAACUUUUAUUUGGCGCUAUUGACUCCAAAGCAGACUCUGAGCCCCUCCAAAGCAGACCCUGGAGUCUGAGAGUCAUGGACAGCCAAUCAGAGGUACAGGGCUCUGUAAACCCCAAGUAGCCCAGUACAACCUCCAGUUUGAAAGGCUGUUGACAAUCUGACUAACUGCAGAAAUGAAGCCAUGAUGGGGAGGCAUAAAGGCUCAACUGCCCUGUACCAAAGUUCUCUGAGAAAAGUGACCCUGUAGCCCCACCCUAUCUUUCCCCUGAUGGGGAUUUUUUAUGCUUUUCAGUCUUCAAGAGCCUUCCAUCUCCAUGUGUUUAAAUCCCUCAAGACCCAUUUCUCUGUGUUCAGGGAAAACUUGAUGGGAUUUCCUUUCCACUCCUUAGUCAAGAGGUGUUACUGCUAACCACUCAUUUCUCCCAGUAGAUGGUAUGUGCUACCCUGUAUCAAUCCUAGAUCAGGAAGAAUUAAGCCCCAGGAAUCAAGGAAUCAAUCCCGGUUUCUGUUCCUUAUCACAGGAUGUGGAUGUAAUUGUGGUUGGUGAUUGAAGUAAUACAAGACUCCCAAUUCCAAGGCCUUUCGUGUGAUCAUGCACAGUAAAUCAUUCUCAGCUGGAAUUGCACUUUGAUUAUAAAAUGUACAGUACAGAAGAAUUCUCUGACCGGGACAACUUUAAUUCAUUGUGCACAGCUGAAAGGCAGUGAAUGCAACUAGAAGACAGACAUAUGGAGACUAACCUGUGUUUCUGCUUAGGACAAGGAAGUGUUCUUUACCCAAGAGCAACUAGCUGCUUGAUCUUUUUUCCACAGACAAGAAGUUUGCUCAGCAUUGUGAUGCUCAUGCAUUCUCAUUUCACAACCUCUUCUCAGCACACAAGUACAACACUGUGACACUAAUGCUAACUGUUGAUGUUUUCUCUGCUUGGGAACCAGCUAGGGGAGAGAUGCUAUCAACGCUGCAGUGCAAACUGCAGCUGGAUAGUUAGAGAAGGAUAAAUAUCAAAUAAUUCAGUUCAAAUAAGCUCCCAAACAUUAUGUGAAUGUUGUGGAGGUGGAAUCUCACAAGAAGAGACAUUGUCAUGAGACUUCUAGUACUCACUGCGUCCCGUCAGGACAUGACAUAGACGUUGACUUUGCCGCAGUCUAAUAUUUCCACUUCUGCUCCUGGCAUGAGAUGGAAGUGGAAAUGAAAAAGAGAAUGUGAAAAUGCAAAAUAAGAGGGUGUUAACUGAACUUUUUAAACUUCACAAUCAGGGCACCAGGUUACAAAGUCUUUUGUAAAAUGGUUUCUUAACAUGGCCAAAAAUGUAAUUAAGACCAGGAAGAGGGAGCAAGUUACCAAGUGACCUACAACUUCAUUGCUUUUUAGUCAACCACUGCUAACACAAUUACAGCUUUGUGUGUUGUCUGCACCUGACCUGUUGACAACAAGUGGCAAAUAUGGUUUGCUCAUAAUGAGUUAAAUGUGUUUCGCCUGCUAGCGUAGACAGGGCUGAACCAUUUUUGCUACCUGUUCCAGAGAGAAUCAAGGUAUAAGAUGCUGAUGUUUUAUUCUUUGGAGGUUUUUAAUAGCUGUUUGCAGCUAAUGGCCAACUUUUCCAAACCUGAGUGUCUAACAUUAGUCACCUAAACUUAUAUUUGGGUUUGAAAAUAAAUGGCCUGAUUUUCAACUGCAUUGACUUAAGUGGAAGUUGUGGGGGCUCAAUCUCUGAAAAAUCAGACCACCUGGGGAGAUGCACCCAACUUUGCAAACUUGAGCCCUUUACCACUCCACUUCUAUAUGACAUGCUAGGUGAUGCUGUAUGGAGAAUGCUGCAUGUACAGUACUGGGGCUGAAUAAUUUAUUGUCCCAUCUCAGGACGCCUGCAUGGGAAUUUGUCAGGUCAUUUCUAAUGAGUCACAGUGUUUGGCAACAUGCUCUCGACAUGGUACGUAUUUGGUUUGUCCAACUUUAUGAAGAUUCUCUCCCCCCCCCCCUUUUUUUCUUCAAAAUCACUUGCCAAAUGUUUUAAAAAUGCAGUAAAUUAUGUAAAUAUUUGUAGUGGAGGAGUACAGUUGUGCACACACGGCACAUCACACACAGAGUAAUGUGUUCACACAUAGAGAGAGAAACACAUAGCCAAACACCUGAAUCUUUAAUCUCCUUGGGACAGGAAUUAUAAAUUGUAGGACAUCUGAACUGAAAUCUUACCAUUUCUGAAGGGAAAAGUCACAAUGGGGGUAGGAGGAGGGGAGACCAGUGUUAGAAAUAGUUGGACAGCUGGUGCUGUUAAUGUUCUUCACACAGAUGGCCUUGGAAGCAUGAGUUGUGUUAUUUCAGUCGCCUAUUAGGACCCACAGUCACUACUAGGACUGUUGUUAUCGUACCUGUUCCUAGUCAUAUUUACACAAGUCUGAUAAAGGGAAUAUGGGUCUUACUGGGAGGGACUUUAUAAAAUCAGAGUAAUGCAACCCCUGCUGCACUUGUGCCAGCACGGCAGUCUGAUUUGAUUUGCACUGUUAAUUACUCAGACAAAAACAAAAUAAACCCCAUCCCCCAACCACCACCAAGCAACCUAAGGCUGUGACCUUUCCAGACCAGCUGAAUCCCUCAAAUCCUUUAUUGAUCAGGUCCUGAAGGGUGCAGCGUUAAACGAUGAGAACAGCAAUGCCCGAGCCAUCUGUUUUUUUCCCCUAGACAAGCGUGGAGGCUCAGAUUAUGCGGAUUUGCGUAAUCCAUGUAUUAUCGCUGUGUUAAUUGGACGGUGCCGUGGAGUCACUUUGUUGGAAUGUGAUCUCUCUGUAAAUCACUGUGCCAAGGGGUUCACACUGCAGUGUGGGAAGAGGGUCCCUUCAGGCAGGAGUAGAGUUGUGGUUCACUUGUCACUGUAGAAUAACAACUUGCAAAGCCUGGUCAGCACAUUGGGUUUGGAUUGCAGAUGUGUCCGGUUUAGUUUCAUUGAUUUUUGACCUACGGCAAAUGGAGUGGGCUUUUGUUUUUUCAUUUCUUUCGAAGAGAAGGAGAGCUCAGCACCGCCAAGAACUAUACAGUACAUAGGAAUAGUCUGGAGAUGAUGUAUCCUCUGCUGUGGAGUCACUCAGAUUCUCUGCAGAGCAGGGCAAGGAUUUAGAGAGAUUCAACCAGCCAGAGGGAGUGGGGCUCCAAGGAUAAUAAAUUAACCGUUCCCAUGUCUGAGCGGCUAGCCUGCCUCUCUUUAAAUGCUGCUUGAUAACUGAAAAUAAAGGAGAAAUAAGGAAAAUGAGGCACAGUUGGAAGAACCUCAGUGCACCAGGUGGCAACAGGAGGAUAAUUAAUGAUCACUGUUUUUUUCUGCUGUUUGAAGAUGUCGAGACGCUGUGUGUACAGGGUGCAGUAAUGCAGUCCAGAACCACUGUCCUGAUAGGAAAUCUCACUCUUUUUUAAAAAAAAUUUCUGGGCAAUUUCCCCUCACGGUAGAGCUGAAUCUCACCCAGUUCAAUGGAGUAUCGAUUUAAACCAACUGCUUGCUGCAAAAGUGGGGAAAGUCACAUUCUCAGAUGCAAAAAGAAAACCCAUUCCUAAAGGGCCAAGUUAUGAUUAGAAAGUGCAUGGCACUUGAAUUACUGUACUGAACCAAAAAACUCAGAGCAAUUAUAGCUUGUAGGUUUGUGCCAAUUAGAAUCUUAUUUCAUCAUUUAAGGAAUAGAAACCCCCCUUUAAAAAAAAAUCAUCCUUUUUAUUUUACUCCAUGGGCUAUGAACUGAUUAUUUGAAAGCCAAGAGGGAGCAAGCAGCUUGUAAUUUAGCACAACUGUUUGAUUGCUCAGAAAAUAGGACCUAGUGAUUACCUAUUAUAAAUCCUCCCUUCAACUAAUGAAGCUUAUGCUCGCUUCUAAACCACAGACAAAAGUGGCUUGAAAAUAGCCCCUGUGCUCUAAAACUCACUGACGCACUAUAGGGAAAAAAAUCCCAUCCUGUGACUCUGCUGCUGAGCUCUAAUUAUAUUUCCCUUCCUAGGAAAAGGCAAAGGAUGGACAUUUGUUCUCUGCUUAAGGUCCACUGGUUUUCCAUAAAAUAGCUUUCCUGUGAUUGGCGUUUCCGAUCGGAGCAGCCACACUGAUCUCCACAUCCCCUCCAAUUAAAUUGUCUCUUAGAUCCAGAGGAAAGAUAAGAGAUUCAGGGUAGAAUGCAGAUAAGUGGAAUCAGCUGGUGUGUGGGCUGGAUCCAACCUGUUUCAAAGAGUAAAAGCCAGUGCAGUGAUAUAUUUUCAUUUAUCAUCAAUGUGAAGGGGAUGCCAGGGGUUUAAGCUUAUUGCAAAUCAAAUACACAAUUUCAAUGGAUCUGCUCAUGUGCUUAAAGUUAAGCAUGUGCUUAUCGGCUUUGCUGGAUCAGGCUAGAGUGCUCAGCCUAUGGCAGGAUCAAGUCCCCAGUGAAGUACCAGGUUCUAGCCACCUCAGUUAUGUCCAUUUACCUCAAGCCUCACAAGCAUUUCAGAGGAUCAGAAUUCGGUUGCAUUCUCUGUUACUAGUUUGGUCUCAUCAGUGAUACUUUGUGGGUGACCAUUUCUUCCCAGAAUUAGCCAGUGUUGGGUACAUGAAUCUCAGUAUGUUUCUCUUUGUAGUAUGUAGGCAUUUGCGCAUGACCUAUGUUUGCUUGCUUCACACAAAGCGGAAACAACUUUAUUUUAGCAAAGGUUUGCUCUCUGUUAGAGAUGGGCCUGAUCCAAAAUUGUGAGUCUAUACGCCCUAGACUUUAGGAAGUUCUUAACAUGAGCUGGGAUCCUGGGCCGUGACUGGGGCACCUAGGCAUUACGAUAUUACAAAGAAAUAAUACCAUGUAGCUUGGACACAACCCUACUGUCCAGGCCUUUGCACUGAAAUUGCUUCUUGCUGGUAACUUUGUUCAUCACAGUCCCUCCUCCUUUCUAUCACAUUAGCUGAGAAUGUUGCCCUAGACUCUGUUGUUCAAAACUAAAUAUUUGCAAAUUGCAAAGAUGAUCAGAUAUCCUGAUGAGCUCUCUCCAACAACCAUCCGAGAGGGGUGCCAAGAAAAAAGACACAAUAAACUAGGUUCUAUGAUUUGGGGUAUGUCUACACUGCAGUUAGACACCCCUCGCUGGCCCAUGCCAGCUGACUUGGGCUCAGGGGAUUUGGGGUAAGCGGCUGUUUAAUUGCAGUGUAAAUGCUCGUGCUGCAGCCCUAGCUCUGAGACGCUCCCACCUCGCAGAGUCCUAGAGCCCAGGCCACAGCCCAAGCCUGAAUGCCUGCUCUGCAGUUAAGCCCUUUAGCCAGAGCCCCGCAAGCCCAAAUUAGCUGACGCAGGCCAGCCGCAAGUUUUUUAUUGCAGUGUAGACAUACCCGUAGAAACUAAACUGGAAAAUAUAUUAGAUCAAAGCCAAAAAUGUCCAUUUCUUUGUCACGGGCUCUAUGCCACAUGAGUUUUAAAUGCACAGACUUUCUUUUCCCACUUGCUCUGCCCUAUUUUAAUGCUAGUUUUCUUUUAUGAUUAAAUUCUACUGGCAUUCUGCACAUUGACAGCAGGCCAAAGACUCAAAACGGGGUGGUGGGCGGGGGGGGAAAUCAUUCUGUUGUACCACCAAAAACUAUGCUCAUACUGUUGUUAUAUAAUACCUGUAUAUCUUGUCAGAUUCAAAAAUUCAUGAAGGGGACACACAGGGAAAAAACAUGCAGUUGAUGACUGCAAGCCAGUUAGUUUGUAUUCCUAGAGAUCAGAUGUUUCGCUUGGGUUGGACCUUCUUGGUAGAAGCUGGACAGGUUGAGUGAAAACACCACAAGCUCCAGAAAAAGUUUGUGGGACAGAAGUGUAUUAAUGUUAUAAAAUAAUCCUUCUCUGUUAGUGUUUGAUAUUGUCCAAUAGUAAUCACUUCUUGCUGUGGUAUCACAUUUGAUGGUUUGAGUUUGUUUGUUUUUUUAAACCAGUGGGUACUACUGUUAAAUCAGGAGGCGGGGCUAAUAGAAGUUGUGACUAUGUAUGUCAUCAUCUGGAGUUCCUCUGGGUUCCCACUUGUGCUUAAAGAUUGUAAUGAUGUUUCCUCCAAAGGCUGGGUGAGGAGGGCAUUUAAGUGGCACCCAGGGCUUGCAGUUCUUCCCCUCUUCAUGUCCCUCUCCACACGUGAACUUCAUAAAUCUUCAUUUAUACUCUUGGCUGGCUGUGUCCUGUGCAGGCUCAUGAGAAAUAUUAAAAUACAAUUUGAAAUAAAGAUUUGUAUUAACCAAAGGAUGAGUUUAGCUUUACACAUAUCUCUAUAUAUUUUUUGAAAGUUGGGAUUUAAUUUAAAUCUGGUAUAGUCUUAUGUAAAUGAAGAUAAGUUCCAGAUGGGAUCAGACAACACAGCGUUUGAGCUUCCUGUCAUAUUUUAAAAAUUGAAGCUAACUGGCAAAAUAAAAAAGGCUUCUCAAAUCUGUGUCACGAACAACAUCAAUUAGCGUGGCUAUGGAUCUGUGUUUCACAGCAUGGACGAUCAUCGUUUUCUAAUGUGUGUGUUGAUAUUUCUAUCCAGAAUAAGAAUAGUUCUUGGGCAAGCAUGCAAUCCCUUAGUCUAAUUUUGUUCACAUAUCCAGCAUACCUGAUGCAGGAUGUGUCGUGGAUGUGAGCCAGUGUUAUGAUAUAGCACCAGCAAAUAUAGCACCAGAAGGCUGUGUAAUCCUUCCUUCCAGCUAAUUUACCCAAGAGCUACAAGCCUUGUACUGGAGUAUUUGAAACAUACUUGAAGUUUAUAUUUACUGGGCCAGUGCAGCCACAAAAACGUGGUACAAGGAUGGGGGCCCAAGCUUGAUUUAUAAUGAAAAGCAUUUAUCUCUUUUUACUUUACCUCCGGUAACCCAUCCAUUCACGCUUUCAUUCUAGUGCUGUCGAUACUGGUCUUCUGACAGUAAUUCAAAACGAAGGGCACUUCUUGAACUAGUAAAUAACUCUGUUGGCGGAAUCUAGCAUUUUUGUAGAGCUAGGUCAUGCAGUUGACUGCACAACACAGUAAAUAUACAUCCGCUAUAUAUAGGCAUGGAAGGGAAGAAUAGUGUGCUUCAUAUGUUUGUCUUGUAUUUGCUAGUCUGUUAAAUUUUGUAAAUAUCAUUUUACAUGUGCCUUUUUUAGAGCUUAUUAAUUUUGUUUUUUUCAAAAUGUAUAAUAAAUAUUUUUGGGCCCAGGAA